GGAUUUUCCAUUCCCAAACCUGAUCUGAUCGCCCGGAUGGAACGAGGGGAAGAGCCAUGGGUACCCGAUCUCCAGGCUGCUAAGGAAAGAGAGAUCCUGAGAGGUGCCCACACAGCAGGUGCUGAGCGAGGGAGUGAGAAUGAGGCGGGGAAUCAUCAUGAGGAAAUUCCUGGGGAAGUGGAACCACAAGGGACCUUUAUGGGAAGAGCUGAAGGAAAUUUAUCCCAGUGCUUGGAACAGGGAGAAGCCUGGGGAAAUUGGCACAGGUCAGAGAGGCUGCUGGGAAACUACCCAAGGGAGCAAGUAGGUGAAUCUAUUAAAUGUAGGGGAGGAGACAAGGAUCCCAAAGCCCAGCAAACAGACCCCAGGGAAGAGAAACCCUACCACUGCCUCAAAUGUGGGAAAAGAUUCAUUGUGAGACCACACCAUCUUACACUUCAGACAAUCCAUAUUGGAGAGAAACCACUUCAAUUCUUGGACUAUGGGGAAAGCUU